GGGUUGUGAGGUUAAGCGACUAAGCGUACACGGUGGAUGCCCUGGCAGUCAGAGGCGAUGAAGGACGUGCUAAUCUGCGAUAAGCGUCGGUAAGGUGAUAUGAACCGUUAUAACCGGCGAUUUCCGAAUGGGGAAACCCAGUGUGAUUCGUCACACUAUCAUUAACUGAAUCCAUAGGUUAAUGAGGCGAACCGGGGGAACUGAAACAUCUAAGUACCCCGAGGAAAAGAAAUCAACCGAGAUUCCCCCAGUAGCGGCGAGCGAACGGGGAGCAGCCCAGAGCCUGAAUCAGUGUGUGUGUUAGUGGAAGCGUCUGGAAAGGCGCGCGAUACAGGGUGACAGCCCCGUACACAAAAAUGCACAUGCUGUGAGCUCGAUGAGUAGGGCGGGACACGUGGUAUCCUGUCUGAAUAUGGGGGGACCAUCCUCCAAGGCUAAAUACUCCUGACUGACCGAUAGUGAACCAGUACCGUGAGGGAAAGGCGAAAAGAACCCCGGCGAGGGGAGUGAAAAAGAACCUGAAACCGUGUACGUACAAGCAGUGGGAGCCUCUUUAUGGGGUGACUGCGUACCUUUUGUAUAAUGGGUCAGCGACUUAUAUUCUGUAGCAAGGUUAACCGAAUAGGGGAGCCGAAGGGAAACCGAGUCUUAACUGGGCGUUAAGUUGCAGGGUAUAGACCCGAAACCCGGUGAUCUAGCCAUGGGCAGGUUGAAGGUUGGGUAACACUAACUGGAGGACCGAACCGACUAAUGUUGAAAAAUUAGCGGAUGACUUGUGGCUGGGGGUGAAAGGCCAAUCAAACCGGGAGAUAGCUGGUUCUCCCCGAAAGCUAUUUAGGUAGCGCCUCGUGAAUUCAUCUCCGGGGGUAGAGCACUGUUUCGGCAAGGGGGUCAUCCCGACUUACCAACCCGAUGCAAACUGCGAAUACCGGAGAAUGUUAUCACGGGAGACACACGGCGGGUGCUAACGUCCGUCGUGAAGAGGGAAACAACCCAGACCGCCAGCUAAGGUCCCAAAGUCAUGGUUAAGUGGGAAACGAUGUGGGAAGGCCCAGACAGCCAGGAUGUUGGCUUAGAAGCAGCCAUCAUUUAAAGAAAGCGUAAUAGCUCACUGGUCGAGUCGGCCUGCGCGGAAGAUGUAACGGGGCUAAACCAUGCACCGAAGCUGCGGCAGCGACGCU
rnacentral:rRNA from 1 species